rnacentral:rRNA from 1 species
AUUGAACGCUGGCGGCAUGCCUUACACAUGCAAGUCGAACGGCAGCACGGGAGCAAUCCUGGUGGCGAGUGGCGAACGGGUGAGUAAUAUAUCGGAACGUGCCCAGUCGUGGGGAUAACGUAGCGAAAGCUACGCUAAUACCGCAUACGACCUAUGGAUGAAAGCGGGGGAUCGCAAGACCUCGCGCGAUUGGAGCGGCCGAUAUCAGAUUAGGUAGUUGGUGAGGUAAAGGCUCACCAAGCCGACGAUCUGUAGCUGGUCUGAGAGGACGACCAGCCACACUGGGACUGAGACACGGCCCAGACUCCUACGGGAGGCAGCAGUGGGGAAUUUUUGGGACAAUGGGCGGCAAGCCUGAUCCAGCAAUGCCGCGUGCAGGAUGAAGGCCUCGGUU